rnacentral:rRNA from 1 species
UAGGGAAUCUUCCGCAAUGGACGCAAGUCUGACGGAGCAACGCCGCGUGAGUGAAGAAGGAUUUCGGUUCGUAAAACUCUGUUGUUAGAGAAGAACAGCGCAUAGAGUAACUGUUAUGCGUGUGACGGUAUCUAACCAGAAAGCCACGGCUAACUACGUGCCAGCAGCCGCGGUAAUACGUAGGUGGCAAGCGUUGUCCGGAUUUAUUGGGCGUAAAGCGAGCGCAGGCGGUCAAUUAAGUCUGAUGUGAAAGCCCCCGGCUCAACCGGGGAGGGUCAUUGGAAACUGGUUGACUUGAGUGCAGAAGAGGAGAGUGGAAUUCCAUGUGUAGCGGUGAGAUGCGUAGAUAUAUGGGGGAACACCAGUGGCGAAGGCGACUCUCUGGUCUGUAACGGACACUGAGGUUCGAAAGCGUGGGUAGCAAACAGG